rnacentral:rRNA from 1 species
AGAGUUUGAUCAUGGCUCAGAACGAACGCUGGCGGCAGGCCUCAAACAUGCAAGUCUAGGGGGUGUAGCAAUACAUCACCGGCGGACGGGUGCGUAACGCGUGGGAAUAUACCUAUUGGUUCGGAACAACUGAGGGAAACUUCAGCUAAUACCGAAUGUGUCCUAACGGAGAAAGAUUUAUCGCCAAUAGAUUAGCCCGCGUUCGAUUAGCUAGUUGGUGGGGUAACGGCUCACCAAGGCGACGAUCGAUAGCUGUUCUGAGAGGAAGAUCAGCCACACUGGGACUGAGACACGGCCCAGACUCCUACGGGAGGCAGCAGUUGGGAAUCUUGGACAAUGGGGGAAACCCUGAUCCAGCCAUGCCGCGUGAGUGAUGAAGGCCUUCGGGUUGUAAGACUCUUUCGCGCACGACGAUAAUGACGGUAGUGCGAGAAGAAGCUCCGGCUAACUUCGUGCCAGCAGCCGCGGUAAUACGAAGGGGGCUAGCGUUGUUCGGAAUUACUGGGCGUAAAGCGCGCGCAGGCGGUCUUCCAAGUCAGUGGUGAAAGCCCGGAGCUCAACUCCGGAACUGCCAUUGAAACUGUGAGACUUGAGUAUGAGAGAGGUGAGUGGAAUUCCCAGUGUAGAGGUGAAAUUCGUAGAUAUUGGGAAGAACACCGGUGGCGAAGGCGGCUCACUGGCUCAUUACUGACGCUCAGGCGCGACAGCGUGGGGAUCAAACAGGAUUAGAUACCCUAGUAGUCC